rnacentral:rRNA from 1 species
CCUACGGGUGGCAGCAGUGAGGAAUAUUGGUCAAUGGGCGCUAGACUGAACCAGCCAAGUAGCGUGAAGGAUGACUGCCCUAUGGGUUGUAAACUUCUUUUAUAUGGGAAUAAAGUGCAGUAUGUAUACUGCUUUGCAUGUACCUUAUGAAUAAGGAUCGGCUAACUCCGUGCCAGCAGCCGCGGUAAUACGGAGGAUCCGAGCGUUAUCCGGAUUUAUUGGGUUUAAAGGGAGCGUAGGCGGGUUGUUAAGUCAGUUGUGAAAGUUUGCGGCUAAACCGUAAAAUUGCAGUUGAUACUGGCAGCCUUGAGUACGGGAGAGGUAGGCGGAAUUCGUGGUGUAGCGGUGAAAUGCUUAGAUAUCACGAAGAACUCCGAUUGCGAAGGCAGCCUGCUGGACUGUAACUGACGCUGAGGCUCGAAAGUGUGGGUAUCAAACAGGAUUAGAUACCCUUGUAGUC